AAGCGGUGGAGUAUGUGGUUUAAUUCGAUGCAACGCGAAGAACCUUACCUAGGUUUGACAUCCGGAAACCUUCCCGAAAGGAAGGGUGCCCUUCGGGGAAUUCCGAGACAGGUGCUGCAUGGCUGUCGUCAGCUCGUGCCGUGAGGUGUUGGGUUAAGUCCCGCAACGAGCGCAACCCUAUUGCCAGUUGCUACCAGGUAAUGCUGGGCACUCUGGUGAGACUGCCCCGGUUAACGGGGAGGAAGGUGGGGACGACGUCAAGUCAUCAUGGCCCUUACGCCUAGGGCUACACACGUACUACAAUGGCGCAUACAAAGGGCAGCGAUACCGCGAGGUGGAGCCAAUCCCAAAAAGUGCGUCCCAGUCCGGAUUGCAGUCUGCAACUCGACUGCAUGAAGUUGGAAUCGCUAGUAAUUCGAGAUCAGCAUGCUCGGGUGAAUGCGUUCCCGGGCCUU
rnacentral:rRNA from 1 species